AUGAAACCUCUUAAUGAAGAAGACUCAAGGAAAUUGUUUUUUAAUAGGAUAUUUUUCUCUGAAGAAGCUUGUCCAGGUCAACUCAGAGAUGUUUCAGUUGAGAUUCUCAAGAAAUGUGCUGGUUUGCCACUUGCAAUCAUUAGCAUAUCCAGCCUAUUAGCAAGUGAAAGUUCUCAGCAAAAGGAGAGGUGGAAACAUGUACAAAAUUCUUUGGGGUCAGUGUCGGGCACAAACCUCACCUUGGAAGCAAUGAGAUAUAUCCUGAACCUUAGUUACAAAAAUCUUUCUCACCACCUCAAGACAUGCUUCUUGUAUCUUGGUAUGUUUCCGGAGGACUAUACAAUAUAUAGGGAUGAUUUGGUAGGUCUCUGGAUAUCCGAAGGUUUUGUUAGUACAGCAUGCGGACAAAGCCCAGAACAGACUGCGAUAAGUUAUUUCAAUGAGCUUGUCAACAGGAGCCUUAUUCAGCCUUUAUGGAUUGACGUGGGUGGGUCAGUGAGAUCUUGCAAAGUACAUGAUAUGUUGUUGGAUCUUAUUUUGUACAAGUGUGCUGAAGAGAAUUUUAUCACUCCAGUAGACAACCCAGAGGCCAUUACAGGACAGCUUCAAAAGCCCCGUCGGAUGCUCUUCAACUUGGCUGGUGCAACAUUGCCAGGGGACGUUAGUAUGUCACAAGUGCGGUCAUUUGCAAUGUGGAGAGGCUCCAUGAAUAUACCGUCAUUGUCAUAUUUUAAGUAUCUUCGAGUUUUUAUUGCUGACUUCCGUUUCAGUUCUGCUGAUGACAACCAGAAAAUCAACCUGAUAGGACUGUGUAAGUUAUAUCAGCUGCGACAUAAACAGAUUCGUGGCUGUUGGAACUGCCAGCUACCAACCCAAAUUAGAGGGUUACAGAUGCUGGAAACAUUCCAUAUAGAUGGGUCCUGUAUCCCAAUGGAUAUUUUUCUCCUGCCGCACUUGUUGGAUCUGCGUGUUCCAGGCGUUAAAAGGCUGCCUGAGGGCAUUGGUAAAGUGAAAUCCCUACAACAUCUGUAUCCGUUUGACACACUGCACACCUCACUCGACAGUAUCAAGGGCCUAGAGCUCACCAAUCUGAGUUCUCUAGUUCUCACAACCGUUUUUUCUGAAGAUGUGGACAUGGAUGUUCUAAACUCUUCUUUGGCAAAACUUUGUAACCUUGAGUGGCUGAAGAUAUUUUCAUCUUCGAUACCUGAGGCACUAACCUUGUCGCCUCCUCCCCCCAACCUUGUGACACUGCUCAUGAGGAAAAGGUCCGGCCGUGCCCCUAACUGGAUUGGGGAACUCCAUAACCUCCAGAACUUGGAUCUCACUGUCGAGAAGCUGAACAAGGAUGGUGUUGGUAUUCUUGCGGAGUUACCAGCCCUCAUCUACCUGCAAUUAAAGUUUGAUAGAGCACUGGAAGAAACAAUUGCCAUCGAUGGGGCAGCAUUCCCGGUCCUAAAGCGGUUUGAUGUCACGUGGGAAAACAUGCGACACCUGGCCUUCCAAGCUGGGGCAAUGCCUAAACUCCAGAGGCUCCAUCUAGACUUGAACGCCAGAGGGUGGAACCAGGACGAGAAUGCCGCACCUACAGGUAUCGAGCACUUGUUAGCACUUGAAAGAAUCUAUGUAAUGAUCGUUAGUGGUACUGAAUAUGAAAAGAGAAGCGCGGAGUCAGCCAUUAGGAGCGCUAUCAACAUGCAUCCUAGCCAUGCUCACAUUACCCAAAAAGGCUUUCGCCCCGCUUUAUAUUAUAAAGCCAACCGCACAACAAGCAUCCAACAAGGUCCAACACACACACACGCACACACAUACGGAGGUCCACAGGGACAAAUAGUACACGAAGAUGGAUUACUGCAUUGUUUAAGCUGA
rnacentral:rRNA from 1 species